AUCUUGCCUGUUGCAGCAGACCUCUUUUAGCUGGCUCUGGUAGAGUCUCUUACAAUUACAAAGAUGUUGCUUUUGCACCCUAUGGUGAUCAAUGGAGAAACAUGAGGAAAUUGAUUGUUCUUGAGUUAUUUAGCUUGAAGAGGGUGCAGUCUUUUUGGUCCCUUAGGGAAGAAGAAGUUGGAUUGCUAAUCAAUUCUAUCUGCGAGGCAGCAUCUUCUGCAACUCCUGUUAAUCUCACUGACAAGUUGUUUGCCCUCACUGCAAAUAUCACAUUUAAGAUGCCUUUUGGAUUCAAUUAUCGAGGGUCUAAAUUUGACACAGAGAGAUUUCGUUUUCAUGAAGUGAUUCAUGAUGCUCAGGUUGUGGCUGGAAGCUUCUCUACAGGUGAAUUAAUUCCAUUUGUGGGUUGGAUUGUUGAUCAGAUAACAGGUCAUCAAGCAAGGACUGAAAGAGUUUUCCAUCAGUUAGAUACCUUCUUGCAAUAUGUAAUCGAUGAUCAUCUAAAACCUGGAAGAAAAAAGAAGCAGGAUGACUUGGUAGAUGUGCUGUUAGGAAUAGAGAAG
rnacentral:misc_RNA from 1 species